GCUAUGUGGGACGCCGCCUCAGCAAGGCCUGAUGAGCGGUGCCAUGUCCACGCCCAGGAUCCGAACCAGCGAAACCCUGGGCUGCCCAAGUUGAGCGUGUGAACCUAACCUUGCAGCCACGGGGCCAGCCCCCAGGCAAAUUUGAAACUGCUUCCCGAGGCCAAGCUGCAGCCUGGAGGUCAGCCUGACCCUGAGGACUCCCAGCUCUGGGCAGAAGCCCCAUCACCCCUGCCAAGGGAAAGCCUUUUCUGGAAGACACUCAAAAGGCAACCAUAGUUACUAAUGGAGCAUGGUUGAGUGUGAGACAGAGGUAGUUGUGACCCAGUCUUGACA
rnacentral:lncRNA from 1 species